UGUUGGCCUUAGAGCCUGAGCUGAUGUUC
rnacentral:piRNA from 1 species